rnacentral:rRNA from 1 species
AGUAGGGAAUAUUGCUUAAUGUGCGAAAGCGCGAAGCAGCAACGCCGCGUGUGCGAUGAAGGCCUUCGGGUCGUAAAGCACUUUUUGGAGGGAUGAGGAAGGACAGUACCUCCAGAAUAAGCCUCGGCUAACUACGUGCCAGCAGCCGCGGUAAAACGUAGGAGGCGAGCGUUAUCCGGAUUUACUGGGCGUAAAGCGCGUGCAGGCGGUUCGGCGAGUUGGAUGUGAAAGCUCCUGGCUUAACUGGGAGAGGUCGUUCAAUACUGCCGGACUAGAGAGUGGUAGAGGGAGGUGGAAUUCCGCAUGUAGUGGUGAAAUGCGUAGAUAUGCGGAGGAACACCAGUGGCGAAAGCGGCCUCCUGGCCCAUUUCUGACGCUCAGACGCGAAAGCUAGGGUAGCAAACGGGAUUAGAGACCCCGGUAGUCCUAGCUGUAAACGAUGUGAACUUGGCGUCGGCGGCUUCAAAACCGUCGGUGCCGU